AAUAAAAGCAGGUUAUGAUCCGAGAGAGAUUGGUUCUUGAGUUUUGAUGUUUCUACUUUUCUUUUUCUUUACUUCACAAUAAUAAUAAUAAUAAAUCUAGCGUCCUCCUUCUGCUGCUGUAACACAACCACCAUCAUCGUCUUCUUCUUCUUCUUCUUCUUAAUUCUCAUCCUACAAGGUUCUCUCUCUCUGCUCCUUUUCCUUAUUUUAUUCUUCUAUAUUCUCUUCACUACAUUUCUUCUUCAAUUCUCUUCCUUUUCUUCUCUUUUCAUCUUUUUCUUCCUUUUCACUUUCGUGCUUACCUCCUCAAACCCUUAUUCUUCUAGAUCGCUUUAUCUUAAAAUUGCUUUGCUUUCUUCGUCGGAUAUGGCGGCAGAUGAAGAUAUUGGAAUGUCAGGUUUGAAGUCUCAGUUGAGUCAAUCAGAUGAAACUUGGAAGGAAGGGAUGGAAAGAAGCCAAUCUCAGGUUGAUGUGUUGCAAGAAAAGCUUACAGAGAUAAAGGGCUCGGAGGAAGACUCAAAAAAGGAAUUAGAGGUUCUGUGGCGAAGAGUCAAGACUACUUCGACCUUGUUGACGUACUUAAAAUCGAAAGCGAGAAUCAUGGCUAUUCCUCAUCUAGCCCAUACAUCUUGUGGCAUCAAAAAAUUAGAUGGAGUAGGGCUUGUCGACAAAGACGGGAUUCCAUUAUCGGGUUGGUCUAGGAAUGUUGAUCUUUCUUCAUUUGAUGGCGAAGAUGAAGAAUCUUGGAUAGGGAUUAGCCGUGAGCAUGGUUCAUUAGACGAACAAGAUGCUGUAUAUAUAGGUGAGUUGCUCAAUUCUGUUCAGAUGGUCACUGAUGUGAUGGAAGCCCUUGUGAAAAGGGUUUUGUUGGCAGAAUCAGAAACUACAAUUGAGAAGGAAAAAGUAAGUUCAGGACAGGAAGAAAUUAUGCGAAAGUCUGUUCAGUUAGAGAAUAUGUCGAUCAAAUUAGAGGAGAUGGAGCGUUUUGCUUUGGGGACAAAUGGUAUUUUGAAUGACAUGAGACAAAGAGUUGCGGAUUUGGUGGAAGAAACAACUCGACAGAGACAACGGGCUGCUGAAAAUGAAGAAGAGCUUUGUAGAGUGAAACAGGAAUUUGUGUCUCUCAAAUCAUAUGUCAGUAGUCUAAUCACAGUGAGAGAAACCUUACUAUCCUCGGAGAAGCAAUUCCAAACUAUUGAGAAGUUGUUUGAGCGGAACUGAAUAUGACAACCAAAAGAAGUGAACAACUAGAAUGAAGCUCUAAAUACAGUUUCUAGAUGUAAACUAAUAUGUGGAUAAGAAAGAAGAAAGAUAUCGUAGAAUUAAGAAUGCCAUCUCUGCCCUAUGGCUUCAGACACCCCUUCAUUGCUCAAAUGAUUGACUGCAUCCCACUCCUUUCUCCAUUUCACUUUAUAUCCAUGUCCCUCUUCAUGAUACCAGCGCGUAAUCUGUAAUCUCACAGUCCACAUGUCCAUUCUGUUAGAACUUAGAAGCUCACAUAACACGUUUCAUCCACGUUUUGUUUUUCAAAUUUGCAUUUGAAAACCGAAAAUGGAAAGUUCACAACCAUGCCAAAUGGGUACUUAGUUCUCAAAUUUAGUUUUCUUCUUUAUGAUUGGGUUACCCACAAUACUAAUAUUUGAAAAUCCCAUCCUUUGGUUAGUUUAAGGGAAUGUCAUCCUCUAUUAUGCUUCUAUAGAGAUUAACUAUUAUCUAUCCAAUAUGUCUAGGUUUGUUUCUAAAUCAGCAAUAACAUAGAUCAUCCAAAUGAGUUACUUGUUUUGUGCAUCUAUUCAUCUUGUUGGAAGUUGACAUGUUUACAAUGUCUUUUGAUGCCUACUCUCGUGUUUUCGGUUUGGGUAUAAUUAUAAUGUAUGUGUUUUAUCUGCCACUCUCUCCAGACGAUAGCAAGCAAAAGGCUAGUUGGAAAGACUACCCAAUUGGAGGGUGAGAAAAUGCAGAAAGAGGCUGAAGUUCAGAAACUUAUGGAAGAGAAUGUAAAGCUGAGUACUUUGCUUGACAAGAAAGAGGCUCAACUUCUGGCAUUGAAUGAACAAUGUAAGAUGAUGGCUUUGAGUGCUUCAAACAUGUAAUUGUCAUUUGUACUCUACAGAACUCGUUUGAGGUCCUCUAAUCCUGAAAAGAAAAAAAAGCAUCAAUGGAGGAAUCCAUAAACAUCAUGAAUGCCUUUAUUUCAUUUUCUGAUGCAAUUUCUGUGCCUUUUCGAGAUUGAACACGGGGAAUAUUUUUCCUUGGAAUGUAAACUUGGUGUGCUCUCAUUCAUGAGAAAAACAAAAUAUGAGAUUUCUCUUGGUUGUACAUGUUGGAGACUGCAAAUCGAAUUCGAUUGAACUUCAAAUUA